rnacentral:rRNA from 1 species
GACAGAGGGUGCAAACGUUGUUCGGAAUUACUGGGCGUAAAGCGUGUGUAGGCUGUCGUGAAAGUCGGAUGUGAAAGCCCCGGGCUCAACCCGGGAAGUGCACCCGAUACUGCUCGACUUGAGUACCGGAGAGGUUGGUGGAAUUCUCGGUGUAGAGGUGAAAUUCGUAGAUAUCGAGAGGAACACCGGCGGCGAAGGCGGCCAACUGGACGAGUACUGACGCUGAGACACGAAAGCGUGGGGAGCAAACAG